AUUGAACGCUAGCGGGAUGCCUUACACAUGCAAGUCGAACGGCAGCACGGACUUCGGUCUGGUGGCGAGUGGCGAACGGGUGAGUAAUGUAUCGGAACGUGCCCAGUAGCGGGGGAUAACUACGCGAAAGCGUAGCUAAUACCGCAUACGCCCUACGGGGGAAAGCAGGGGAUCGCAAGACCUUGCACUAUUGGAGCGGCCGAUAUCGGAUUAGCUAGUUGGUGGGGUAACGGCUCACCAAGGCGACGAUCCGUAGCUGGUUUGAGAGGACGACCAGCCACACUGGGACUGAGACACGGCCCAGACUCCUACGGGAGGCAGCAGUGGGGAAUUUUGGACAAUGGGGGAAACCUGAUCCACCAUCCCGCGUGU
rnacentral:rRNA from 1 species